UAAAUUAGUACAUUACAAUCAUUACAAAUUAUAAUCGGUUUGAAUUAAAUUAAAUAAAAAGUAAAAGAAUGUAAAACAACAUCAUCUGCAGCUGCCCAUAACAUUAGGAGACAAUCAAGCAUUUCAGAUAUAUAUUAAAAUUAUAAAAGAUAGAAAAUUAAAAUAAGAACCAAAAAAAAAAAAAAAAAAAUCCAAUUGGCACACACGCACGUGAAAGGGGCUUGUCUCAAUUAUGCUAUGGUAAAUGGUUAUAACGAGCCCCACCAAACGUGUCAUGAACGUCCCAAUUUUCGUAAGCUAAACCAAUUCAAAUGAUUUGAGUGGUUUUGCACAAUCACCGUUCAAUUACUGUUGGGCCCAUGAGCCAGCCCUCAUCUUAUGCUAGAAUGGGCUUUAAAGUGGAAUUUUAAUUGAAAAUGUCUGGUUCUCAAUAUUCAACAAUUCCUUCACAUAGCCACCCACUAUACUGCAAUUCUAUUCUAC
rnacentral:lncRNA from 1 species